UAAGGAAUAUUCUGCAAUGGGCGCAAGCCUGACAGAGCAAUACCUCGUGGAGGACGAAGGCCUACGGGUUGUAAACUUCUUUUCUCAAGGAGGAAGAACUGACGUUACUUGAGGAAUAAGCAACGGCUAACCCUGUGCCAGCAGCCGCGGUAAUACAGGGGUUGCAAGUCUUGUUCGGAAUUAUUGGGCGUAAAGCGUCUGCAGGUGGAUAAUUAAGUCUUUUGUUAAAGCUUUGAGCUUAACUCGAAAACAGCAAAAGAAACUAGUUAUCUUGAGUAUAGGAGAGGGAAAGGGAAUUCCACGUGGAGAGGUGAAAUUCGUAGAUAUGUGGAGGAACACCAACAGCGAAGGCACUUUCCUGGACUAUUACUGACACUCAGAGACGAAAGCUAGGGUAGCAAACCGG
rnacentral:rRNA from 1 species